AUGGAGGAGCCGACGCAAACGGCCGCCGCCGGCAGCAUCCCGACGGCGGCGACCGAGCGGUGGUCCGCCCUCCCGGGAGAUCUCCUCAGCGUAAUCUACCUACGGCUUGUCGCCGGCCCGAUCGUCGACCGGCUAAGCUUCGCAGCCGUGUGCGGGUGGUGGCGCGCUGUCGCCUCGACGCACCCGCCGCGCCGUCUCCUCCCGUGGUUGGUCCUCGACCCGGGCGGCAGCGACAGGGCGAAGCACGCGUGCUGCCUCGAGGAUGGCGUCGUCCUGCCGCCGCGCCUCCGGUUCCCCGACGAGGCCGUCGGCAGGUGCAUCGUGGGCGGCCACGACGGCGGCUGGGUCGCCUUCCUGGGAGCCCCUCUGAGGAUCGUCAACCUCUUCUCCGGCGCCGAGGUGACGCUCUCCCCGAAACAGAGAAGGAUCGUCCGCUUGCGAAACCGAGGAGGAUCGUCCGUCGACGACCGGUUUGUUCCGCUCAAGGUGAUAUUCUCCUCGCCGCCCACCUCGAGCGGCUGUAUCCUCGCCGCCAUCACCGAGAGGGAUGAAGUCGCGGUCUGCGGGCUUGGCCGCCCCAGGUGUUCAUGGUUGCCACGGAGGCUUCCUGGUAAGACAAUCAUGGAUAUUGCCUUCUGCGACGGCCAUCUCUAUUGCCUCGUAUCGGAAACGAUGGAGAUUGUCAGGUUCGAGGUCGGCUUAACCAAACACGGCGUGUUCAAAAGUAAUCCCCAAUGGUUGUUUGUAGGUGGUCUGCGGUCCAUGGUAUUAUUCUACCACCAGAACGGGGGUGAUCCAGAUGAGCAAGCAGUGUAUGAGAAUGCAAGCUAA
rnacentral:rRNA from 1 species